CUGCUUUAUAUGUUGGGCGUCUGUGUAAAGUUUUGUCUGAAGGGAGAUUUUUGCCACUAAAGCACAUUUGAAAAUCCACUGAGCUAGAAGAACUCUUUCUUUCAGCUUGAAACUUCUAUGAGUCUGUUACUAAGCGCCCAGGAGAUGGGCACAUGGAACAGAAGAUAACAUGCAUAUAGAAAUCGAUGGAAGGGUUGACACAUAUUCUUCUAUUCACAGGUAGGAGCAAUCGUUACUUUCUCCUGGGAGCCUGGAAGCUGCCUUGCCCCCACACUUCCCCUGUGUACUCCUCUUCACUUCUCACUGUGAAAAGGCAAAAUAAAAUGGAGAAGGAAAAGUGGAUGAGUGGAAGGUAAAAGGUAAAACGGUCCCCCUCAAGGGUCCUGUCCCAGAACAAAAUGAAAAAUGACGCUUUAUUUUUCACAGUAUCUUUUCUCAAGAAGUUCACGACGCUUUAGGAAACUGGUCUCAUAAAUCUUCAAGACACUCUUGAGAGGUAGAAAGCAAUGGUUUCACCCCCAUUAUACAGGUGAGGAAACUGAGGUAUAGCAGCAGAGGAAGAGUAACUUGCCAGGGCCUUUAAUAACAGUCUGAAAAACAGCAGAUUUUCUCUUUUCCAAGUCAGUUCCCCAAGUUUAUGCCUGCAUCCUAUUUGCCAAUAACCACAGGGAUAAAGUACUAAUUUCAAGAGAUCCAGAAAAUGCUUCCACUUUUAAAAAAAUACAUUAACUACAAUGUGUUUAUCUAAAUACUAAGCUAAUAAUGUACAUGGCCUUAAAUAAAUGCAUGUGAAAGUCCAUGUGUGC
rnacentral:lncRNA from 1 species